CGCUGCGCGCUUCAAGCACGACCGACACCCAUGACUAGUACGAUGCCCGACUGAACAAGAGGCGACAAGGACGGUGGCGAAAGACGAGGCAACGCGGGACGCGAGCGCCAAAGUUCACAGAGUCGUGCACACGCACACGCGAUGACGGAGCUGUUCGACGAGGGUGGCGCCAGAAGACGAUCAAAGUUCAUUCGACUUGGGAAGACACAUCGAAGCCCUCCCUCCCCACACAUGCGCUGGGCGAAAAGGAAUACAAAAAAAAAGAGUGUAGAAUGGACCAGUCGGCUUUUUUCUUUUUGCAUGUGUAUGUGCGAGACGAGGAGCGGGCUUGGCAGGCGAGGGCAGGCACGAAAAACAAACAAGCAUGGGAAGAAGGAGAAUGCAACAUGUGCAAGAUGCAUACAAAGAGAUGAACAACCACAGAUGCGUACAUCUUUGCACUUCUUUGGUUGAAGCUGUUCUGCCAUAGGGUCCCCCUCGUUUUCACGCGUGUUUUAGCCCACCGAUGCACCCAAAAGAGGAAAAGUAAACGUUGACAGAGGGAGAGAGUGUGAGACAGAGAGGGGAGAAAGGGAAGGUAGAUCAAAACUUCGCUCUUGCCUUCGCCCAGCUCUCUUUUUUCUUAUUUGUUUCUCCGAUUGACGUUGACCGCUCUUCCCUGCUGCUCCCGUCACUCUCUUCUUCUUUCCCAUUUCUUUUCCUUUUUGAUUUCUUCGUUGUUACUGCUCUUCGUUUUUGCCUUGCUGCCGUGUGUGUAUUUUCUCUUUCUGUGAACAAAUUCUUACCUUUAACUGUUGCUAUUUUUCACUACUCCCCCUCUGCGCAUGCGCAUCGUGUGUGUGUGUGUGCUGGAGGUGAAACACCCUUUUUUUUCCUCUCCUCCCGUUUUCUGUCUUUUGCUCCGUUAUGUGCGUGGAUGUUUCCUCCCUCCAAUCGAAUGCGGAGAUCACACAACACUGACACACAAGCACACACUGGGAUAGAGAAGCCAGCGGUCAUACGUACAGAUGUGGCCGCCUUCUCGCUUCUCUUGUGCAUCUCACUCUCUCGCCAGGCUCUUUCUCUUUUCGCUUGCCUUUCUAUCCCUCUUUUUGUUCUUUGCAUUGAAAUCUUGUGCACUGAGAUGGAUCGGAAGAGAUGUCGUCCUCGCUCAUGGGCGGAGAGCCGCCGUUCUCGCCAUUUCUUUCUCUCCCCUCCGCGCUCCUUCGCUUUCUUCAACUGUCAGCUUUCUCACCUCGAUCUUGGCGAAUCCGUUUUUCUUUACCCUCUCGCGUUCACCGGCUUAAUGACCAAGAUUCUCUUCCGUCGCUGUAGGUCUCUCUCUCACUGCCUUGCUUUUCUCCGCCUUGUCUUUUUGCACCUAAAAGCGCGCGUCCCCUAUCCGCGGACUCCAGUGUGAACGUAGCGCGUGUCAGGCAUGUGCGGAGAGCACCCGCUGUUUACCCCGAAUUCCAUCUUCUCCAGCUCUCCGAGCGGCAAGCGGUGCGCUGCGCAAGUCCGGAGGAGAUGAAGCGCAGGGGUAGCGGUUCACACGUCGAUGCAGCAGACGUCCAGUAGAAGCGCCUUCUUUCCCCCUUUUUUGUUCUCAACGGAAAUGGAAGCGAAUAAUAAGAAUAGUAAAGGCAAAAGACGGCAGGACGGGGGGGAGUUUGGGACGGGCGAGUAGAAGAUACACAGCCUGUGGUUGUGAAGAGAGAACCACGGCAGAGCGAAGCAAACUUUCCUUUGGUGCUCUCUUUCCCAUCAGUUUGCAUUGGCGCGGAGGCUCUGGACUCUGCUCUCUCCGUCUCUCCCCCUUUGCUUCUUGUCUUUCGGUCUCGUCUGCCUGUACGGUGUGCUCUUCUUACUGCAGCUGCGUCAUCUUUCCUUCUCCUUUUGUCUUGACUAUCCCUCCGUCUCGCGCGCUCUCUCGCAUCCUUCCUUGCCUUGCUUUUUUUUGUUUGUGUUCUGGCUGCAUUAUGAACCGUACUCUGCUAUGCACCACCUUGGGGCCCGGGCUCGCUCGCUCUCACUCACUGCGCUUUCCUCUGUUUACCCCCGCAAACGUUCACGUGCAUAUUUGUGUGUCUUCGUUUAUGCAUGCCAGCAUUCUUUCUGCUUUCGCUUUCUCCUCUUCCGUUCUUUGCGUCGUUUUUCCAGUAGCUGCUCGUUUUCUUUCUGAUGGCGUGAGGCGCACUUGUCUCGGUGAGCGUGUGCGCAUAUGCGUGGGCGGUAGCUUUCUGCAGGACUCACCCAUACCCACACUCUCAAACCUGCGUGCUUACAGCUAUUGCAGACAUGUGCGCACGCUCUGUGGUUUCGCAUCACCGGCCUUGUCGUCUCCGAUGGCUUUUUUUUUUGCGCGACUCCAUCAGUGACUUGCACGCCUCACCCUUUUUUUUUGUCUAUGUGUUCCGACUCUCUGUCCGAGGCAGCACCCCCUUCCCUCACCCGAAACUGCGAGGAAGCACACACGUACACAUAGGUCGAUUUUCCACCCCCAAAAACAAAAACGGAGAAAACAACUGAAAAGUGAGAAAGAAACGGAGAGGAACGAUGCGCUUCUGAGAGUUCGUGUGUGCAUGUGUCUUUGUACGGUCUGCGCGUCUGCUACGAAUGAGACCUGCGGGGCUAUGAUGGUCGCCAUGUGGUGAAGGAAAAAAGAUCAAGACGCAUGGGUGUGAGCAGAAAAUGCAGCCGGGCUACUUCAAACAUGUGGCGGUGUCCCACAUCGUCCCUUUUUUCUUUUUUUUUCCGAAAGCACAAAGGGGCUUUCAAGUAGGUUUGCGUCUGCAUGUGACAUCUACACGUGUGCGCGUCAUCCCACGCGACUUUUCUCCCGCUCCUCCUUACCUUUCUCCCCUCCCCCACUGCAACCCGCUUCUCACUAGAGCGGCACGGCGCACCUGGAUGCUUCUCUUUCUUGUGCCUUUCUCAUGCUCGUUUUCCCUUUUUACUUCCUUUUUAGAUGCCAUCUAGUGUAGGUGUAUAAGUGCGCGUGUGUGCUUGGGUGGCCCACCACGCCAUCUUUGCCUCUUUCUCCUUUUCUCUCCCCCUCCGUCUACGGCUGCCGGCUUCGGUGUGUUCGAAUGCGUAUCCGUUUUUUGUUUUCAAAAUGUUUCUGUGCUGUUUUUCUUCAUGCAUAUGCAUGCAAAUAUAUAUACAGAUAUCGGUAUAUACAUGCAUAUACGUAUAUGCAUGUAUAUAUGUAUAUCUGAGUUGGUCUUGUGGUGCAGGCGUCAGUGCGAGGCGUCGGGAGGUGAGGAAAGGGAAGGGGAGGGUGGUAAGCAGUAACAACAAAAACGAUAAAAGAAAUGCCGAAAAAAAACAAAAACAAGCCAAACCAAACUAAGCAUGAUUAAUCGCAUUUCCCGCAACAACAGAGAGAAUACACACACAUACACAGACACGCAUGCAAAAAAAAACGUUAAGGCAGUGCUUGCACGCGUCUGUUAGCGUGCCACGAUCGCACACGCGCCGAGAGCGAGAAAACAGCGGUGUGGUAUCUGCACAGCGAAGAAACUUCCGCCUCCUUUUGUGGCUCUCUUUCCACCACCCUCUCUCUCCAUCUCCUCUUUUCUCGUUCAUUUUCUUUGCCCCUCGCCAUCUCAUUGUCGCUAUUUUGUGCUUCUCCUUGGGCCGUCCCCCCGCUCCCCGCUCUUUUUUUUUUUCGCUGUCGAAG
rnacentral:misc_RNA from 1 species